UGAGGAUGUUAGACUUUCUUAUUGUUUCAUUCACCUAUCAGCAAUCCUCGGACAUGGAGGUCCGAGGAAAUCUCGCACGCAACAGGGAGGUUGCGUAAGAGAUGGUUGCGUCAUCUUCUACGCAUCAACCCUGAAACAAUUAGAAAGACUUAC
rnacentral:ncRNA from 1 species